rnacentral:rRNA from 1 species
UACGAAGGGGGAGCUAGCGUUGCUCGGAAUCACUGGGCGUAAAGCGCACGUAGGCGGAUUGUUAAGUCGGGGGUGAAAUCCUGGAGCUCAACUCCAGAACUGCCUUCGAUACUGGCGAUCUUGAGUCCGGGAGAGGUGAGUGGAACUCCGAGUGUAGAGGUGAAAUUCGUAGAUAUUCGGAAGAACACCAGUGGCGAAGGCGGCUCACUGGCCCGGUACUGACGCUGAGGUGCGAAAGCGUGGGGAGCAAACAGG